rnacentral:rRNA from 1 species
GUCUAUGCCACACCACCCUGAAUGCACCCGAUCUCAUCUGAUCUCGGGAGCUAAGCAGGGUCGUGCCUGGUUAGUACUUGGAUGGGGGGGACCAUUACAUCAUUGUCAAUGUCAGGAUCGUGCCGCUGGCCACAGUCA